ACAGAUUCGUUCUUCCCCCUUACUCUGCUCUCCAGGAAUUGGCUUUUUACAAACAUUUCCAAGGCUACUUUCGUCAACUGCCGUCAAGCUAGGUGGGAUAAAUGGGAAGCUGUGAUAUGAGUUUGGGGCCAAAGAAAGGGAUAAGUCGAGCUGGCCACACAACCGUCUCACUGCUUCAGGAAGUAGCCUGAUCUCUCUGUGGUUCUAAUUCUAAUCAGGGUUCUAAACAGCCGCUCCCACUGUGAUGUCACCUUCUGCUGUGUGGCCCUUGUUCCUUGGCUCUUUUAAUAUCUUUGCCUUCUCCCGUUGCCCUCCAGGUCUAGGAAUGGAAGUGUUUUGCUGAUGUAGCUAAUGUUGGGGUCAAAGAAAGAAUAUAAUACACUUAUGAAAAAGAGACAGCCUCAUCAAUCCAGUUUUUCUUGGCUCAGUCAGCAGAAGAAACAGAAAUGCUGUCAUUGCUUACAUGUGAGAUAAAGGAUAAAAAGAGGGAAUGUGUUGGUUUACUGCAAAGGCCAUUCUUUUGGUUUGAGAACAUUGCUGGAAAUAACCUGAGCUGAGAAAAGCUCCCUAUGAGGAAUACAUGUUAUGGGAAACUGUUAAAGGCAAAGCUUGGUCACUGACCUUCUCCGUGUAGUUUAAUCAAGCUGCAAGCACCCCACCAAAAAAGACAGCUGCUUAAAGAAGAGAGCCCUCAACAAGCCAGGACAUUUUACCUUUCCUCUAUUACAUGAGUUGGGGAUAAGACACAAGUGCGCAAUAAAUUUCUAGUUCUCGCAUUCAGAGGCUGCACUAUAAUAAUGAUAGACUAUAAAUCACAGAAAAAAUGUUACCUUUAUUUUAGGACGGUCGAUAGCUAGAAACAGUGCUCACCAAUAGCACAGAUGUCUAGCAGAUAUAAAAACAAAUGCUUGGCAGUUGUUUAAAAAUGGGAAGUACGAGGAUCUGCCCCGAAAUAUAUUAGAAAACAGCAGCAGUUCAUCGUUUUGUCAAGUUUCCAGUUUUGCAAUUUACUAUUUUUUUAAAAAAAAAUCCCGUGUUCCGUUGUUGAAGAUAGAACUGCAACUUUGGGAAAGAGAAAAAAUUUUGGUCACGCAUUUCUGCAAAACUCUUGUAAACAUUUGUGGAUGGUAUCUACAUACACGAGCUUUUAUAUAAAUGUGUUUUAAAGUUUAAGGAAAAUUGAACGUGAGGAAUUGAAGUAAGAUGAGGCUGUAUACGAAUGGGAGGCUCCUGCAAGGACCCGAGGGGACUGGAACUAGGAUUUCAAUGUGCCAACUAUUAGCUAAUUGUGAAGAUGACACUGCCUGGCCAGACUCAGAGUCCACAUCCCAGCGGCUGCCUCAAAAGAGCUGUUAGAAGAAGAAAAUGCUCAUUUGUUGCAACUGAGACCAUGUGCUCUGAAAUCCAGUCAUGGGCAUUGGAAAUGGAGAUCCCUCUAAAAACUGUGGCAAUGCUGAGGGUCCAAGAGGCUCUUGAUACCACUCCUGGAGAGGUUGUUUUCUCUGGAAGCAGGAACUGAGAGUGAAUUUGGAUUAUCGUGAUCAAUAUGGAAGUAAAAUCUACAAGUUCAAAUGAGACUUAGAGUUAUUCUCUGAAGAUUUAGCAACAAAGACUGCCAAGUGUUUAAUCAAAAGAUUGCAUUUUCUCACGAUAAAAAUGGAUAGUUGUGGCUUGGAAAAUGGGAAACUGGACCAACUAUGAACUAGAGCAAAGUUGAAGACAACUCUAAAUGUUUCGAGAGUAUUUUUGGUAAUUCCCUGAGCUUUCCUGACAAUUGGUCCUUCUACCCUCACUGCAUCCUGUGGGAUAAUGUUACAUACCCGAAGUCCGGGAGGCAGCACGGUGCAACUUCAGGGGUAGUAGCAGUUUUCCUUUUUUGUUUUUUUUUCAAUUAAACGGUUUUUCCGAGAAAACCUAAUUAUUUAAUAGUGUUGUAGCUCUGAAGUUGUGAGUUGAUUCGAGAUAUUUGGAGUUCUGGUUCUGUGAGGCUUAGCUACAUGUGGCUAUUGGAUCACAUAUCCGCUCCCCUGCCAUGUAAGAUGAAAACACGUUGGAAUAUAACUAUUGGUUGGCUUUGUG
ensembl:lncRNA